CCAAYAGCGUAUAUUUAAGUUGUUGCAGUUAAAAAGCUCGUAGUUGGAUUUAGGGCGAGGGUGCUCGGUCUGCCGUUUCGGUUGCACUGUUCUACUGUCGUCUUCUUGUCGGGGACGGGUUCUGGCCUUCAUUGGCUGGGGCUCGGAGUCGGCGAUGUUACUUUGAAAAAAUUAGAGUGUUCAAAGCAGGCCUAAGCUCUGAAUACAUUAGCAUGGAAUAACGCUAUAGGACUCGGGUCCUAUUGUGUUGGUUUUCAGGACCGGAGUAAUGAUUAAUAGGGACAGUUGGGGGCAUUCGUAUUUCAUUGUCAGAGGUGAAAUUCUUAGAUUUAUGAAAGACGAACUUCUGCGAAAGCAUUUGCCAAGGAUGUUUUCAUUAAUCAAGAACGAAAGUUGGGGGCUCGAAGACGAUCAGAUACCGUCCUAGUCUCAACCAUAAACGAUGCCGACUAGGGAUUGGCAAGCGUUACUUUGAUGACAUUGCCAGCACCUCAUGAGAAAUCAAAGUUUUUGGGUUCCGGGGGGAGUAUGGUCGCAAGUCUGAAACUUAAAGGAAUUGACGGAAGGGCACCACCAGGUGUGGAGCCUGCGGCUUAAUUUGACUCAACACGGGGAAACUUACCAGGUCCAGACAUAGUAAGGAUUGACAGAUUGAGAGCUCUUUCUUGAUUCUAUGGGUGGUG
rnacentral:rRNA from 1 species